GAUGAAGAACGCAGCGAAAUGCGAUAAGUAAUGUGAAUUGCAGAAUUCAGUGAAUCAUCGAAUCUUUGAACGCACAUUGCGCCCCUUGGUAUUCCGAGGGGCAUGCCUAUUCGAGCGUCAUUAUCACCCCUCAAGCCUAGCUUGGUGUUGAGGCCUGCUGUCAAGGCAGCCUCUAAAAUCAGUGGCAGUGCUGUCAGGCUCUAAGCGUAGUAAAUCUAAUCGCUAUAGACACCUGGUGGACACUCGCCAGAACCCCCCCAUUUUUUAAUGAUUGACCUCGGAUUAGGUAGGGAUACCCGCUGAACUUAAGCAUAUCAAUAACGGAGGA
rnacentral:misc_RNA from 1 species